rnacentral:rRNA from 1 species
UACGAAGGGGGCUAGCGUUGCUCGGAAUCACUGGCGUAAAGGGUGCGUAGGCGGGUCUUUAAGUCAGGGGUGAAAUCCUGGAGCUCAACUCCAGAACUGCCUUUGAUACUGAAGAUCUUGAGUUCGGGAGAGGUGAGUGGAACUGCGAGUGUAGAGGUGAAAUCGUAGAUAUUCGCAAGAACACCAGUGGCGAAGGCGGCUCACUGGCCCGAUACUGACGCUGAGGCACGAAAGCGUGGGAGCAACAGG